CUCCUAUUUUUUUUUUUUUUGGUAUGUUUUUGAGAGAUGUGAAGGAAAGAAAAGUACACCAUUUUCCCCCUAGAAUAAGAUUUUGGAUCAUUGUUGCAUUUGAUUACAUAUUUCUGCAAACUCUGUGUUCUUGAAGAAAAAUAUAUUUUUUUCAUGUUUUUUUUUUAAAUGGAUGCCUAUACCAAAAUUUGGCUCUCAUUUCACAGCAGAAAGGAGAGAAUGCAUGGAUCCCCAAACUAUGAGCUGUAUGCAUUCCUCCUGCAAACUAUCCCCUCAUCAGGCAGGCAUUAAAAGUGUCUCAUUUUUGAGGUUAUAUUAAAUCUUUUUAUACUUCCCUUUCUGUCCUGGAUGUAACAUGUCAGGAUGCAGCCAGAAUAGGUGGAACAUACCAUAGAGACUGUUGGUUGGUGCAGAGGGAGACACAGAGUUUGAUCAAGACCUGCUUGCUGAGGUGGGCUGGAGCCCAGGAGAGCUGCUGCAGGGAUAGGAACAGAGUCUGGCAGGAAAUGUGUAAUAUUUAGGGGACAUUGAUUCAGAGAUCCCUAGAGUGCUACAAGAAAGAGUUUGAAAUUGAGAAGGAAUAAAGUAGAUGCACAAUCUGACUCUAACAUUAAUUUUCAUUGGAGUUCUUUAAGAUUUCAUUUGAAAAAAAUAGAAUUCUGUUGCAAGAAGAAAGAAGUAAAGGAAAGAGAAUAAUUAGACGAUGAUGAUGAUGAUGAUGAUGAUGAUGAUGAUGAUGAUGAUGAUUUUGGGACUGGGGAGUAAUCCAGGGGUGCUUAACCACUGAGCUAUAUCCACAGCCCUUUUUGUAUUUUAUUUAGCGACAGGGUCUCACUAAAUUACUUAGGGCCUCCCUAAGUUGCUGAGGCUUGCUUUUAAAUCAUGAUUCUUCUGUCUUAGCCUCCAGAGCUGCCGGUAUUACAGAUGUGUGGCACCAUCUUAAUAAUUAUUGAGACAGUUUAAAAUAGGAUAGUCUGGUUCACAAUAUGUCAUCCAUAUUGUCAGUGCUUGGCACAUAGUGGGCAUUUGGUGCAUAAUUCAGCAAUUUCACUUAAAAAUGUCUGAAUAAAUAAAUGAAAGUCUCACGGAUACGUUGUUAACAGGUAAGCUGAGACUAUGUAAUGGAAUAUAUCAACAGAUAAACAGAGAACAGUGUUGAUUAAUUCAAAAGGUAAAAAGGCAGACAGGUAGUGCCUAAAUCUGCUGACUGGAAGUAAGGUCCUAGACAUUGGUGCACAGUCUGGGGCCUGGAUAGAAUUAUGGGUAUCGGGCAGGCUGAAUUAUGACAGCAGACAAAGCAGGGAUUGACCUAACACUUGCAGCAAAAUGGGAAUGCAGUUUUCAAAGGUGACACUAGGCUAGGGGCAGACUUUCAGAAGGCGGACUCAAGUACUUAAGUUGGUCCCACCUAAUCUGAUCAAGGUAGGCUCUGGGAGCUGAGUUGAAUUGGCAAACAAUCUCAGUCAUGAUUAGAACUUGGGGACAGAAGCUAAAAUCCAGCCUGGGUUUUCACUUAAUCUCUUUUCCCAUGUUACCAGCAAUAAACUCAGUUUCCUAAGUUUAUUCAGCAAUUUCUUUUAUCUUUAAAAAGGUCUCAUUGGGGAAAAAUCAUAGCUGGGUAAGGGAAAAGGUGACUUUUAGAGGCAAGAGAAAGAAUUGAGGGAACUCUAUAAGCCAUUUCACAUCUCACAUCGAAGAGUUUGAAAGCCACUGAUACAAUACCUACCAGGUAACUUCUUCACAUUCACAGUUAUCACGAGUGAAUGAAGUAAAUUAACUUUCUUGACAAAAAGUCUGAUCACACAAAACAAAAUGUUCUUUAUCAGAGUGCCAUGAAAUAUGGAGCAUUCUCUACAAUGCAAUAAGACAGUAUUUACCAAGAAGAUUAAGAUUAUACUUUUAUUUAAUUAAUGUUUACUAUGAGACUGUACAUGCUCAUGAUAAAAUAUUUAAACAGUGUAGAAAUAAAGUAAAUGUGGUCUUCUUCCUUUGUUCAGUAUCAUUCACAAGAAUGUCAAAAAGUGUGUUAUAAAUGGCAUUAAAAUAUUCUAUAAAUAAGCAAAUGUAUGUGU
rnacentral:lncRNA from 1 species